CCUACGGGGCGCAGCAGUAGGGAAUAUUGCUCAAUGGGGGAAACCCUGAAGCAGCAACGCCGCGUGGAGGAUGACGGUUUUCGGAUUGUAAACUUCUUUUAAGAGGGAAGAGCAGAAGACGGUACCUCUUGAAUAAGCCACGGCUAACUACGUGCCAGCAGCCGCGGUAAUACGUAGGUGGCAAGCGUUGUCCGGAUUUACUGGGUGUAAAGGGCGUGUAGCCGGGCUGACAAGUCAGAUGUGAAAUCCCGUGGCUCAACCACGGAACUGCAUUUGAAACUGUCGGUCUUGAGUAUCGGAGAGGCAGGCGGAAUUCCUAGUGUAGCGGUGAAAUGCGUAGAUAAUAGGAGGAACACCAGUGGCGAAGGCGGCCUGCUGGACGACAACUGACGGUGAGGCGCGAAAGCGUGGGGAGCAAACAGGAUUAGAUACCCGAGU
rnacentral:rRNA from 1 species